rnacentral:misc_RNA from 1 species
AAUUUGUUGCACUAAAAGUUCUGUUAGUGCAAAAACGUGACGAAAUUUAUCUGCUGUAAAGUUCUGUUAGUAAUAUAAGUAGUAAUAAUGUUCCAUUAGUGCAAAAACGUGACUAAAUUUAUUCGCUGGUGAAACUGAUUUUGAACCAGUGGCGCGACAAAUUCACCUAUAAAUACUGUAGCGUUUUCUACUAUUUCACAAUUAGAUUCUUUUCAAAGUGUGGGUUGCAUCGUGCAUAAGCAUUAUGUUACUUUGGUAUUAUUUUCUCGGUUUUGUGCAAGGAGUAACCCUAGUAACAGCGAUUGACUACCGACUUCCUACAGAUGUAAUUCCAUUACGCUAUGACCUUUGUAUAUACCCUGAUAUCUCCUCAGGCGUUUUUAAUGGUACCGUGAGUAUAGAAUUGAACGUAACAGCCACACGCAGUACGAUUAUUGUCAAUGAGUAUGGUCUCGACAUAUCUUCACUAAGUUUAAUAAACACCUCAUCGGGUUCCUCACUAACGAUUACGUCAGCAACAGAAUACACAGACUCGCAGGAAUACAUAAUUAUACCUUCAAAUGAGAUUGAGGCAGGAAAAUAUACAUUGUCAAUCGGGUUCAGCGGCAAUUUCUCUCAAGACCUGGUUGGCCUGUAUCAGAGUACCUACGUUGGUGAGGACGGUAAGACUGGGGUACUCGCUGCCACCGAAUUAUCACCGGCAUAUGCAAGGUACUUGUUCCCAUGUCUGGAUGAUCCAAAAUUCAGGACACCUUUUGACAUUAAAGUUGUACAGCCAUCCGGAGAUAAUUACAUCUCGCUUUCUAAUAUGAAUAUCAAGAGUAUUGCUAUAGAUGAGCCUGCAUCAGGUUUCAAAACCGUAACGUUUGCCACAAGUCCACCAAUGCCGACAUACACUGUUGGCUUUGUAGUCGGUGAUCUUCACGCCCUGACAACAAAUGUUACAAAUCUUGAUGGAGAAUCAUUUCCAAUCAGUUUUUAUACUAGAGAAGCCCAACUUUAUAAAGGUGCUUUUCCGCUACAAGUUGCGUCAAAUGCUCUUGCAUAUUGCAUCAAUCUCCUCGGCGUAUCUUACGCCUUGCCGAAGUUCGAUUUGGUUGCCAUUCCUGACAUUGGCUUUCCCUGUCUGGAAAACUGGGGUAUGGUUACAGCUACCGAAAACAUGAUUCUUUAUGCCAGCAACGCAAGUUCCACAAAGAACUUGGACGAUGUCAUCAUUACAACAUGUUACGGAAUUGUUCACAUGUGGACUGAAAACCUUGUAUCUGUGGAAUGGUGGGAUGACCUUUGGUUCUACGAAGGUGUUCCCAAUUGGCUGCAAUACGGGAUUGCGGAUAAAUUGUAUCCGGAUACCGGCCUUGUAGAACUGUUCUUAUUUUCCGAGGUUGUGAAAGCUAUGGACGUUGAUGCGUCCAUCAACUCACAUCCUAUGAUUCAGAAUAUAAGUACACCAGAUCAAAUUGCAACCAUUUAUAACCCAAUUACAAGAAGUAAGGCAGGAGCAGUCAUUCGGAUGCUGGAAAAUUUUGUGGGAUCCGAUGUUUGGUUCACCUCUCGUUCUGUGGCAUUAACAGAAUAUGCGUACCAGACUGAAAAUACCUCUGAUAUUUAUCACGGACUGCAGAGCCUUGUCAGUUCAAGCCUCGAUAUCUCGGCUAUCAUGAAUACUUGGACACUUCAAGCAGGCUUUCCUGUCGUAAUUGUCGUUAAAGAAGGAACCGUUUACACUCUUACGCAGAAGAGAUUUUUAUCUGAUCCUAACGGAGUCUCAAACACUACUUCAUCAACUUACGGAUUCAGAUGGACAAUUCCCAUCACUUACAUAACAAGUGAAAACUCGACAUCAAACUUGGUGUGGUUUCAGUACAAUGCCAGUAGCUUGUCUAUUACUGUCGACGAAUCCGUGGAGUGGAUAAAAUUGAAUCACGACCAAGCUGGCUUUUAUCGAGUGAAUUACGAAACGUCGGAGUGGGAGACACUUAUCAAUGUUCUACAAUCCUACCCCGAGACUUUCUCUGCUUGUGACAGGACGCAGCUUGUAGGGGAUGCGUUUAGUCUAGCUGCAGCUGCCCAACUAAGUUAUGACGUAACACUUGAGUUGGCAUUAUAUCUCGUUAAUGAACCACAUUAUAUACCUUGGAAUGUGGCUUAUACAGAGCUUCAGUACAUGGUCUUUAUGCUAGCCGAUACUGAUAUAUCCACUAGCCUAAAUGAUUACAUCAUUAGCUUGGUGAAACCCAUUUACAAAAAUGUCACAUGGUCCGUAGGUGAUUCCGACUCUCACAUAACUCUGCGUCUCCGCCCAGUUGUCUUGGAAAUGGCAUGCAACGCAGGUUAUGAUCAGUGUUUGACCGAAGCUGGAAACCUUUUCUUAAACUGGAUUAACGGUACUGAUGAUGUCCGUCCUCCUCCCGAUACUCGAUAUGUAGUAUACAAAUAUGGUAUACAAAAUGUGAAUAGAGAGGCUGAAUGAGAUCAGGUGUUCCAAAAGAUGUUAGAUGAGACAGAUUCGGCGGAGAGAUUCAGGUUAUUGAAUGGUUUAUCAGGAAUAAAAAAUGCUACGAUCUUAACCAAAUAUCUAAAUUUGGCUAUCAACAAAUCGUAUGUCAAAGCUGCUGAAUUUUCUUCCGUCUUUGACUUCAUUUUGACAAAUUCGAUCGGCCCGGCAACAGCUUGGGAUUGGAUUCGGAAUAAUGUAGAAACUUUAAUCAAUAAU